GGGUGCUAUACAUGCAGUCGAGCGAACAGAAAAGGAGCUUGCUCCUUUGACGUUAGCGGCGGACGGGUGAGUAACACGUGGGCAACCUACCCUAUAGUUUGGGAUAACUCCGGGAAACCGGGGCUAAUACCGAAUAAUCUCUUUUGCUUCAUGGUGAAAGACUGAAAGACGGUUUCGGCUGUCGCUAUAGGAUGGGCCCGCGGCGCAUUAGCUAGUUGGUGAGGUAACGGCUCACCAAGGCGACGAUGCGUAGCCGACCUGAGAGGGUGAUCGGCCACACUGGGACUGAGACACGGCCCAGACUCCUACGGGAGGCAGCAGUAGGGAAUCUUCCACAAUGGGCGAAAGCCUGAUGGAGCAACGCCGCGUGAGUGAAGAAGGUUUUCGGAUCGUAAAACUCUGUUGUAAGGGAAGAACAAGUACAGUAGUAACUGGCUGUACCUUGACGGUACCUUAUUAGAAAGCCACGGCUAACUACGUGCCAGCAGGCGGGGGGA
rnacentral:rRNA from 1 species